CCUACGGGAGUCAGCAGUAGGGAAUCUUUCACAAUGGGCGAAAGCCUGAUGGAGCAACGCCGCGUGCAGGAUGAAGGCCUUCGGGUUGUAAACUGCUUUUAUAAGCGAGAAAUAUGAUGGUAACUUAUGAAUAAGGAUCGGCUAACUACGUGCCAGCAGCCGCGGUCAUACGUAGGAUCCGAGCAUUAUCCGGAGUGACUGGGUGUAAAGAGUUGCGUAGGUGGCAUAAUAAGUAGCUAGUGUAAUCUGGUGGCUCAACCAUUCAGACUAUUAGCUAAACUGUUAAGCUCGAGACCGUUAGGGGUAACUGGAAUGUCUAGUGUAGGAGUGAAAUCCGUAGAUAUUAGAAGGAACACCAAUAGCGUAGGCAGGUUGCUGGGACGGUUCUGACACUAAGGCACGAAAGCGUAGGGAGCAAACGGGAUUAGAUACCCUUGUAGUC
rnacentral:rRNA from 1 species